CCUACGGGAGGCAGCAGUGAGGAAUAUUGGUCAAUGGACGCAAGUCUGAACCAGCCAUGCCGCGUGCAGGAAGACGGUUCUAUGAGUUGUAAACUUCUUUUGUACGAGGGUAAACGCAGAUACGCGUACCCGUCUGAAAGUAUCUUACGAAUAAGGAUCGGCUAACUCCGUGCCAGCAGCCGCGGUAAUACGGAGGAUUCAAGCGUUAUCCGGAUUUAUUGGGUUUAAAGGGUGCGUAGGCGGUCGGGUAAGGUAGAGGUGAAAUCCCGAGACUCAACUUCGGAAGUGCCGCUGAUACUGUUAGGCUAGAGAGUAGUUGCGGUAGGCGGAAUGUAUGGUGUAGCGGUGAAAUGCUUAGAGAUCAUACAGAACACCGAUUGCGAAGGCAGCUUACCAAGCUACGUCUGACGUUGAGGCACGAAAGCGUGGGGAGCAAACAGGAUUAGAUACCCUUGUAGUC
rnacentral:rRNA from 1 species